CCUACGGGAGGCAGCAGUGAGGAAUAUUGGUCAAUGGACGAGAGUCUGAACCAGCCAAGUCGCGUGAAGGAUGACUGCCCUACGGGUUGUAAACUUCUUUUAUAUGGGAGUAAAAAGUGACACGUGUGGGGUUUUGUAUGUACCCUAUGAAUAAGCAUCGGCUAACUCCGUGCCAGCAGCCGCGGUAAUACGGAGGAUCCGAGCGUUAUCCGGAUUUAUUGGGUUGAAAGGGAGCGGAGGUGGAUUGUUAAGUCAGUUGUGAAAGUUUGCGGCUCAACCGUAAAAUUGCAGUUGAAACUGGCAGUCUUGAGUACAGUAGAGGUAGGCGGAAUUCGUGGUGUAGCGGUGAAAUGCUUAGAUAUCACGAAGAACUCCGAUUGCGAAGGCAGCUUACUGGACUGCAACUGACACUGAGGCUCGAAAGUGUGGGUAUCAAACAGGAUUAGAUACCCGAGUAGUC
rnacentral:rRNA from 1 species